AGGGAUCUCCCAGGGUUGAUGCUAACUCUGGCUCCAAGUAGAGGGGUUGGAGCUGAGAGAGGGCAGCUGGGAGAGGAGAAAGGGAUCAAGUAGCCAAGGCAACUCUUGGUGGCUUUCCCUUCCCCAUCCUGGCCUCGUGCCCUGUUUCCCUCCAGCUUCUCCGGGUGUGGAGUGUUUAACUGACGUAGUUCUCCUUCUCUGUUGACAUUUCGGCAUCUGGCCCAAAUGUCCAAUUCAUUCACUCAGAUUUUAUUCACCAGAUGUCACGGUCUCCUGUGUGCCGAGCCUGUGCCAGGCUCUGGGGACACAGCAGGGAGACCAGAACAAGGCUCCUUCUUGAGGUGAGACAGAUAACAUACACAACUGAACACAGUUAAGAUGGUAUUGGAGUGGCCAAUGCUAUGCAGAAGUGCCGUGGGGCGCGUGCCAGGCAAUGACCUGGGAUGGCCUUUCUGUGCAGCAAGUUAGUGACAGAGCCAGGCCCACAAACCACGCACAGCCUGAAGGCACCCGGGUGAGGGUGGGGCCAGCUGGUGAAUGUGCAGAGGCCAAGGUUGCAGCUGUGGUUUCCCAGAAGCGGUACUCCCAGAUCAAGCUUCAUCUCAGGUAAGGCCCCCUCUGCCCUAAAUACUCCAGAGACCCUAGUGUCCUGAAUUCCACCCCUUUCUCUCUGUUUUAGAAUAAUUCACACUAAAGUGUGAAAGAUUGGGCACUCAGAGAUAAGCAUCCUGAAAAGAAGAUGCUUGUUAAUCCCCGAAAUCUGUAAUUCGAUGGACUUUUUUUCAGGGUGGUAAAAUGAGUUGGAAAAAUGCAUACAGUGCAAGUCUAUAGUUUUUUGAGCUCAUGAGGGAGCCAUAUACCUGAAGAUUCCUCAACUUUCCUGAGAACCAGCUUCCCCACUCCCAUUUCUGUUUCUCCCGAACUUUCUCUCCCGAUCUUCAGACCACACACGGUUUCUUCCUCAGGUUUCUGCAGCAGGGCCUGUCAAAGGUGGCCAUCACUGGAGGGAAGGUGACUCAGCUAAAGAAAUAACUUUGCCAAAAGUGCACUUUUGAAAAGAACAGACUGGUGAUUUGAGCUAAGCUUCUUGGUAAAUGGCUUAUUUCUCAGAAGAGUGCAGGACUAUGUAUCAUUUAGUAAAUUUCACGCCAUAUUCUAAAGGAUGGGCUUAGGCGGGUUUGUAGGGUAGGUCUGGGGACAGCAGGGGAGGCACUCCUGGGGAACGGGGGCCCCCCUGGACAGGGCCUCACCCCAUCAUGUACUUCUCCCCAGGCACAGUUUCUUCAUCUGUAAAACGAAUGGAAUUGGAUAUUCCAGCACCUUGGUCCUCAAAGUGUGGUGUACAGACCAGUAGCAUCUGCAACACCUGGGAGCUUGUUAGAAAUGCAGAGUCCCAGGCCCCACCCUAGACCUUCUGAAUCAGAAUCUGUCUUUUAACAAGAUUCACAGGCCAUUUGUACACACAGCACAAUUUGAGGAGCCCUGUUCUGGACCAGACUACUCCGGUGUGUCCCUAAACCAGCUGCGGCAGCAUCACCCGGAGGAGAAGCUUGUUAGAAAUGCAAGUUCAUGGGUGCCAGGCCUACUGAAUCUCAGAUCUGACCGUGGUGCUGUGAGCCUGCGUGUUGACCGCCUCUUCAGGUGAUUUGUGAGCACGCUGACCUUUGAGAAGCGCUGAAGCUCAGAGCUGAGGCUCCGUGGCUGGGCAGCUGUCCUACACAGAGCUGGUUUCUUGCUGCUUUGCGGCC
rnacentral:lncRNA from 1 species